UACGUAGGUGGCAAGCGUUGUCCGGAAUUAUUGGGCGUAAAGCGCGCGCGGGCGGUCCUUUAAGUCUGAUGUGAAAGCCCACGGCUCAACCGUGGAGGGUCAUUGGAAACUGGGGGACUUGAGUACAGAAGAGGAAAGCGGAAUUCCACGUGUAGCGGUGAAAUGCGUAGAGAUGUGGAGGAACACCAGUGGCGAAGGCGGCUUUCUGGUCUGUAACUGACGCUGAGGCGCGAAAGCGUGGGGAGCAAACAGG
rnacentral:rRNA from 1 species